AACGGCCUGGAAUACAGACCUAUUUAUGAAAGACAUUGUAAUUAAGUGGUUCCUAGUUCAAGCGAUGCACCCAGUCUCUUAUCCGACGAAUUUCCUUCUUAUAAGUGCCCAUAAGUAAUCACUGUGACAGACCAUCUUCGCCCUAUAGUGGCUAUCUAAAUAUAUAAAGGAAAUUAUCUAUGUCUAAUAAAAUGACUGGAUUGGUAAAAUGGUUUGACGCUGGUAAAGGUUUUGGUUUCAUCACCCCGACUGACGGCAGCAAAGACGUAUUCGUUCACUUCUCCGCCAUCCAAGGCCAGGGUAACGACUACAAAAGCCUGGACGAAGGCCAGAAAGUGGAAUUCAGCGUUGAAAGCGGCCAGAAAGGCCCAUCAGCAGUGAAUGUUUCCGUAAUCUAAUGGUCUUCCGCCGAUGAUAACCUGGCCUGGUUUUA
rnacentral:sRNA from 1 species